UUCGUAGGCGGUUCGUUAAGUCUGAUGUUAAAGAUCGGGGCCCAACCCUGAGAGUGCAUUGGAUACUGGCGAGCUUGAGUGCAGUAGAGGCGAGUGGAAUUCCCAGUGUAGCGGUGAAAUGCGUAGAUAUUGGGAAGAACACCGGUGGCGUAGGCGACUCGCUGGGCUGUAACUGACGCUGAGGAACGAAAGCCAGGGGAGCGAAUG
rnacentral:rRNA from 1 species